CAUAUGUUUGUGUUAGCAGGUUAUGUGUGACUUGAAUGUAGUGAAAAUGAUAGUUUUCCUGUUACAGACUUUGUUACACUGUAGUGAACAUCUUAGCAUUUUUCUACUUCAUUCCAACAUUCUAUAACAUAAUCUUACAUAGGAUAUGAAUUUUAUAACCAAGAUCAUAUUGCUUCAGUGCUCCCCUCUAAAAGACAAGUAAAAUUACAGUUCAUAUUAUAUGGAUGUAGUGAUGAAUCUAGAUCACAGAUCAUUACAUAUUACUGAUCUUAUUCUUCUACCCUGAAGUGGAGGCAGCAGGUUCUUCUGAAAUGUUUCUACCUACCUACCAAUCGACACAGUACAUAGACAAAUCCAAUAUUGAUACCAAAGCCAGUGCCAACACUCACCUACCUAAACUGCACUGAAGAGAACUUGAGUCUCAUUUCUGGCAAACCACAACAGCUCUGAAGGAAUUUGAACAGAUCUGAGAAACUCUAAGCAACUAAACAACUGAAGUGACUCCAGACAACUCUCAAUGGCUCUUAACGUUCACAGGCAAAACCAUCGAAACCCAGUUUGAGUGAGAACAGCCCAGACAGGCACAGAUGAAAGUACAGCAGGUUGUUCAAAGGCAUGCACAGGCCUAAUCUAACCAACCCUGACUGUUGGGGGUGGAGUCCAGCUGAGUCC